GAUGAACGCUGGCGGUAUGCUUAACACAUGCAAGUCGAACGGACUCUUCGGAGUUAGUGGCGGACGGGUGAGUAACGCGUGAGAAUCUGGCUUUGGGUUCGGGACAACCACUGGAAACGGUGGCUAAUACCGGAUGUGCCGAGAGGUAAAAGAGAAACUGCCUGAAGAUGAGCUCGCGUCUGAUUAGCUAGUUGGUGAGGUAAAGGCUCACCAAGGCAGCGAUCAGUAGCUGGUCUGAGAGGAUGACCAGCCACACUGGGACUGAGACACGGCCCAGACUCCUACGGGAGGCAGCAGUGGGGAAUUUUCCGCAAUGGGCGAAAGCCUGACGGAGCAAUACCGCGUGAGGGAAGAAGGCUCUUGGGUUGUAAACCUCUUUUCUUAGGGAAGAACAAAAUGACGGUACCUAAGGAAUCAGCAUCGGCUAACUCCGUG
rnacentral:rRNA from 1 species